rnacentral:rRNA from 1 species
UUUUUGUGUUUAAUAUAAAGUCUAAUCUGCCCACUGAUAAUUUAUUAAAGGGCUGCAGUAUUUUGACUGUACAAAGGUAGCAUAAUCAUUUGUCUCUUAAUUGGUGACUAGUAUGAAAGAUUGGAUGAAAUAUAGACUGUCUCAUUAUAAUGAAUAAAAUUUAAUUUUUUAGUAAAAAAGCUAAAAUAGUUUUAAAAGACGAGAAGACCCUAUAGAGUUUAAUAAUUAUUUUUAUAUAGAAUAAAAUGUAAAAAUUUAAAUUUAAAUGAAAUUAAUUAUUUUGUUGGGGUGAUAGAAAAAUAAAAUUAACUUUUUUUAAAGAUAUACAUUAAUAAAUGAAUAAGUGAUCCAUUAAUAAUGAUUAUAAGAAAAAAUUACCUUAGGGAUAACAGCGUAAUUUUUUUUUUUAGGCCAAAUAAGAAAAAGAGUUUGCGACCCCGAUGUUGGAUUAAGAUAAAAUUUAAAUGUAAAAGUUUAAAGUUUUGAUCUGUUCGAUCAUUAAAA